GGGGGAAUAGCUCAGUGGUAGAGCGCUAGAUUCCAGUCCCAGCGGUCGGGGGCUCGAUCCCCUCUUCCUUAA
rnacentral:tRNA from 1 species